AGAGUUUGAUCAUGGCUCAGAUUGAACGCUGGCGGCAGGCUUAACACAUGCAAGUCGAACGAUGAUUAUCUAGCUUGCUAGAUAUGAUUAGUGGCGGACGGGUGAGUAACAUUUAGGGAUCUGCCUAGUAGUGGGGGAUAGCUCGGGGAAACUCGAAUUAAUACCGCAUACGACCUACGGGUGAAAGGGGGCGCAAGCUCUUGCUAUUAGAUGAGCCUAAAUCAGAUUAGCUAGUUGGUGGGGUAAAGGCCCACCAAGGCGACGAUCUGUAACUGGUCUGAGAGGAUGAUCAGUCACACCGGAACUGAGACACGGUCCGGACUCCUACGGGAGGCAGCAGUGGGGAAUAUUGGACAAUGGGGGCAACCCUGAUCCAGCCAUGCCGCGUGUGUGAAGAAGGCCUUUUGGUUGUAAAGCACUUUAAGCAGGGAGGAGAGGCUAAUGGUUAAUACCCAUUAGAUUAGACGUUACCUGCAGAAUAAGCACCGGCUAACUCUGUGCCAGCAGCCGCGGUAAUACAGAGGGUGCGAGCGUUAAUCGGAAUUACUGGGCGUAAAGCGAGUGUAGGUGGCUCAUUAAGUCACAUGUGAAAUCCCCGGGCUUAACCUGGGAACUGCAUGUGAUACUGGUGGUGCUAGAAUAUGUGAGAGGGAAGUAGAAUUCCAGGUGUAGCGGUGAAAUGCGUAGAGAUCUGGAGGAAUACCGAUGGCGAAGGCAGCUUCCUGGCAUAAUAUUGACACUGAGAUUCGAAAGCGUGGGUAGCAAACAGGAUUAGAUACCCUGGUAGUCCACGCCGUAAACGAUGUCUACUAGCCGUUGGGGGUCCUUGAGACUUUAGUGGCGCAGUUUAACGCGAUAAGUAGACCGCCUGGGGGAGUACGGGCCGCAAGGUUUAAAACUCAAAUGAAAUUGACGG
rnacentral:rRNA from 1 species